rnacentral:hammerhead_ribozyme from 1 species
CUCCAGCUCACGAGUCCCAAAUAGGACGAAACAUGCGUCCAGGAU